GACGAACGCUGGCGGCGUGCUUAACACAUGCAAGUCGUACGGUAAGGCCCUUUCGGGGGUACACGAGUGGCGAACGGGUGAGUAACACGCGAGUAACCUGCCCACAACUUUCGGAUAACGCUAGGAAACUGGUGCUAAUACUGGGUAUGUGCUCCUGCUGCAUGGUGGGGGUUGGAAAGCUCCGGCGGUUGUGGAUGGAGUCGCGGCCCAUCAGCUUGUUGGUGGGGUAGUGGCCUACCAAGGCGGCGACGGGUAGCCGGCCUGAGAGGGUGACCCGGAACAGUGGGACUGAGAUACGGCCCAGACUCCUACGGGAGGCAGCAGUGGGGAAUAUUGCACAAUGGGCGCAAGCCUGAUGCAGCAACGCCGCGUGCGGGAUGACGGCCUUCGGGUUGUAAACCGCUUUCAGCAGGGACGAAGCUUUUUGUGACGGUACCUGCAGAAGAAGCACCGGCUAACUACGUG
rnacentral:rRNA from 1 species